rnacentral:rRNA from 1 species
UACGAAGGGGGCUAGCGUUGCUCGGAAUCACUGGCGUAAAGCGCACGUAGGCGGCUUCUUAAGUCAGGGGUGAAAUCCUGGAGCUCAACUCCAGAACUGCCUUUGAUACUGAGAGCUUGAGUCCGGGAGAGGUGAGUGGAACUGCGAGUGUAGAGGUGAAAUUCGUAGAUAUUCGCAAGAACACCAGUGGCGAAGGCGGCCAUCUCGCCCGGUACUGACGCUGAGGUGCGAAAGCGUGGGGAGCAAACAGGAUUAGAAACCC